rnacentral:rRNA from 1 species
UACGGAGGGUGCAAGCGUUAUCCGGAUUUACUGGGCGUAAAGGGCGCGUAGGCGGCCUUCUAAGUCGAACGUGAAAUCCCCGGGCUCAACCCGGGAACUGCGUCCGAUACUGGAAGGCUUGAAUCCGGGAGAGGGAUGUGGAAUUCCAGGUGUAGCGGUGAAAUGCGUAGAUAUCUGGAGGAACACCGGUGGCGAAGGCGACAUCCUGGACCGGUAUUGACGCUGAGGCGCGAAAGCCAGGGGAGCAAACGGG